UAAUAGUCUCGCCCCGACGUCAUUUUCGUGGCUCCAACAUCUCUGGGCUGAAGUCACGUGAAUGUUGGCAAAACACGGUUGUUUUGUGUUGCGCUUAUGGCUGAACUCAGCGUUUUGUCGGGGAAAAUGGCAUUACAUUUCACGUGUUCCCUAAGGAUGAAAACCGAAGGCAGCUUUGGAUACAGGCCCUGAAGCGGAAAAAAUUUACGCCAUCUGCACAAACGCGCCUUUGCUCGAAGCACUUCGAGGAGAAAUGUUUUGAUAAGUUAGUUAUUAUUUACAAUGUAUACUUAUAAUUUGUAUUUACAAUGUUUGUCAUUUUUAAACCUGAUGUUUUUAUAGGGCUAAGACUGGAGGGAAUUGGCUAAGAAGUGAUGCUAUCCCGACACUUUUCGAUUUUCCGGAGCAUAUGAAAUCGAAGAGCCCUAAGCUCAGUAAAUUACACACUAGAAGGCGUUAGAUGAUGCCUCGUCUUCUGAAAUCUGUGCUUCUAAUGCCUUGACGUUAUGCGAUAUGGAAACGAACAACCCGAAAAACAAAAGUUUCGGGUAUAUUUGGGACUUUUCGAAUAGCUAUUUGUGUACUCCUGGCAUAGCAGAAAAAGUGAUAGAUGUGGCAAGACGGCAGAUUAGCAUCAAAGCCAGAAAAUUGAAGAAUUUGCAGCGGUAAUCUCGUGGGAUGAAGAAGAAAGUCUUGUCUUUGGAAUCUUUGAUAAAUAAUCUUGAAAAUAAUCGUGUUGUAAAUGAAUCCCUGGCUAAUUUACUAAAGGCAAGUAUAUUUACAAUGCCUGUCAUUUUUAAAAUGUAUGACUGAUUGCAGGUUGGAAUACUUAUGCUUAAAUGAUGUGGCUUUUUGCUAUCAGAUGUUGCCACCCGGUACUUCGGAGUUGCUCCAACAUGUCAGUAAAGGUAAAGAAGCAAAUAUGUAUCCAGCAGCUCUUCGGACCUUUGCUCUAACACUAAAUUUUUACAGUAGCAAGGCAUAUAGCUAUGUAAGGAAAAAUUUUAAAACAUCACUGCCACAUCCACGAACAUUAAGAAAAUGGUACAGUGUUGUUGAUGGGGAUCCUGGUUUCAGUAAAGAAGCAGCAAUAGCACUUAGAAUAGUCAGGAACUCAUUAGCAAAGGUAAGAAACUGCUUUGUGCCAUGUCAUUUGAUGAGAUUGUCAUAAGGAAGCAUGUUGAAUUUUGUGGAAAUAGGUUUAUUGGUUACAUAGAUUAUGGUACAGAUCUUGACAAUGACAAUCUGCCUGUUGCAAAUGAGCCGUUAAUAUUCAUGUUGACUGCUGUUAAUGGUUCAUGGAAAAUUCCAAUUGUCUAUUUCUUAGUCAAUGGCCUGGGUGCUGUUGAAAAAUCAAAUCUACUUAAGGAGGCUUUGAAAUUUACAUAUGAUGCUGGAGUAGAAGUAAUUUCUGUUACUUUUGAUGGUGCUCACAUAAACACUGCAAUGGUAGACAAGUUAGGGGCCUGUCUUUCAACGUGCAGAAUGAAAUCUUUUUUUUAAACACCCUCUAUGUAAGGAUGAUGUUCGCAUAUUCCUUGAUCCAUGUCACAUGUUCAAGUUAAUACGCAAUACAUUAGCUGGUAAAGGUGUCAUUUUCGAUGGAAACAGAAAUCCAGUAAAA